rnacentral:rRNA from 1 species
GACGAACGCUGGCGGCGUGCCUAAUACAUGCAAGUCGAGCGAAGAGAGGAGGUGCUUGUUCCUCCGAGGUGGGCGGCGGACGGGUGAGUAACACGUGGGUAACCUGCCUAUAAGACGGGGAUAACUUUUGGAAACGGGUGCUAAUACCGGAUAAUAUCUUUAACCACAUGGUUUAAGAGUGAAAGAUGGUUUUGCUUACAUUAAAAGUGGUACCCCGUCGUCAUUAGUAGGUGGGGAAGGAAACGGCUUACCAAGGCAACGAUGCGUAGCGGACCGGAAGGGGUGAUCGCCCACACGGGAACUGAGCCACGGCCAAAACUCCUCCGGGAGGCAGCAGUAGGGAAUCUUCCGCAAUGGCGAAAGGCCUGACGGAGCACCGCCGCGUGAGUGAUGAAGGUCUUCGGACGGUAAACCUCUGUUGUUAGGAAGGACCAAAUGUAUAAUUAACUACGCACCUAUUGACGGUACCUACUCAGAAAGCCACGGCUAACUACGUG